CACGUCUUGAACAAUUUUAAUUUAAUUAAGACAUUACGUAAUUUUGCUGAGUCAUAACUUUACUAUAUUUAUCGUUUACGUGGUAUCUAAAAAUAGUAUGAUGUCAUGUUUUAUUAAUAUCUUUCGGAGAGUAUAUAAGCAGCGAAAGCUUAAGCUAGAUUCAUUCAUUCAUUCAUUCAUUCAUUCAUUCAUUCAUUCAUUCAAAUAUUCUAUUAAGAGAUAGUUAAAGAUAAUAAAUUGAUAUUGUUGAGUUAAUUGUUGUUGUUGAAGAACUUUGAAGACUAAGAAGAAGUUAUUCCAAAUACGAGAAAGCCUCCUUGGCCAGCGCGUGUGGCUGUGUCUGGUCAAGGAGGGCAACGAGCGUAAACGAUGAAGAUGCAGACACACAUUUUUGUUCGUUCUCGCCCGCGAACGUAACAAUUGGGGGCUCAGGCGGGAAAUCACUCUCUCGGAUAAGAGCAGUUGUUUUGUUGUCAGUCUGAUGAUUGUUCUUUUGGUGUUAUAUUAUUGAUGGAUCUGUUUCCAGUUUUAACGUCAUACAGAUGAAAUUGUCGACUUAGCCAGAGGCUGAAGUACAAAAGUGCUACGCUGGAGGUUCACUACGUCUUCGUCAAAAGGUUUCUGCUAAGAUCGUGCCUAACGUCUACUCAGUGAUGCCUAACAGUGGGGAAAGAUUUUGUGAUUAUUGACCACAUGUUAGUGGUUUGAUACAGUGGUUUUUACACUGGUUUGAUACAGUGGUUUGUUGCCCUGUUUUAUUACAAAGUUGUAAUAGUUUGAUAAAUCUCCCGUAAGUUAAAGUAAUAAUUAUUAUUAAAGUAUAAAAUGUUGUUAAAAUUUAACGAUUAAAAAGGGAGUUUGUAAUUUAUUUAGAAGAUGUAGUUCUUCUGUUGUUGAAUCUUCCCUAUUCUGUUAUACUGUUGCUAGAGUUUAAGGACGCUAUUCUUGUUGUAUUGAGUUUUCUCAAUUUUCAUUCGUUAUAGAAUAUUUUAAAGUAUAAUUAUAACAUUUAAAGAAUAAUUAUUUGAUGGACAUAAUGGAAGUUACGAACAGUUAGUUGACGAAAGUUCUAACAAACUUUCUUUUUUCAAGAGGGGGAGUGUGACGUGAAGUCAGUCACGUCUUGAACAAUUUUAAUUUAAUUAAGACAUUACGUAAUUUUGCUAAGUCAUAACUUUACUAUAUUUAUCGUUUACGUGGUAUCUAAAAAUAGUAUGAUGUCAUGUUUUAUUAAUAUCUUUCGGAGAGUAUAUAAGCAGCGAAAGCUUAAGCUAGUUUCAUUCAUUCAUUCAAAUAUUCUAUUAAGAGAUAGUUAAAGAUAAUAAAUUGAUAUUGUUGAAUUAAUUGUUGUUGUUGAAGAACUUUCAAGACUAAGAAGAAGUUAUUCCAAAUACGAGAAAGCCUCCUUGGCCAGCGCGUGUGGCUGUGUCUGGUCAAGGAGGGCAACGAGCGUAAACGAUGAAGAUGCAGACACACAUUUUUGUUCGUUCUCGCCCGCGAACGUAACACCGAUCAAUAAGAAAUUUAGGCAAUCCGUAUAAUAAAGAAUUACAAUUAUCCAGUUUCGAUGUAAUAAAGGCAUAAACUAAAGUUUGGAUAUCUGACG